rnacentral:rRNA from 1 species
UACGUAGGGUGCAAGCGUUAAUCGGAAUUACUGGGCGUAAAGGGCGCGCAGGCGGCCAUUCAAGUCAGGCGUGAAAGCCCCGGGCUCAACCUGGGAAUUGCGCUUGGGACUGGGUGGCUGGAGUUCGGGAGAGGAGCGUGGAAUUCCCAGUGUAGAGGUGAAAUUCGUAGAUAUUGGGAAGAACACCGGUGGCGAAGGCGGCGCUCUGGACCGAGACUGACGCUGAGGCGCGAAAGCGUGGGGAGCAAACAGG